UACGUAGGUGGCGAGCGUUAUCCGGAAUUAUUGGGCGUAAAGCGUGCGCAGGCGGUCUGUUAAGUCUAAGAUUAAAGCCCGAAGCUUAACUUCGGUUCGUUUUAGAAACUAGCAGACUUGAGUGUGGUAGAGGCAAGUGGAAUUUCUAGUGUAGCGGUAGAAUGCGUAGAUAUUAGAAGGAACACCAGUGGCGAAGGCGACUUGCUGGGCCAUCACUGACGCUCAUGCACGAAAGCGUGGGGAGCAAAUAGG
rnacentral:rRNA from 1 species